GACGAACGCUGGCGGCGUGCUUAACACAUGCAAGUCGAACGAAGUGGCGAACGGGUGAGUAACGCGUAAUCAACCUGCCCUUAAGAGGGGGUCAACAGUUGGAAACGACUGAUAAUACCGCAUACUGAAGGAGGGGAAGGCGUCUGGUUAGCUAGUUGGGGGGGGAACGGCCCACAAAGGCGAUGGUCAGUAGCCGGGCUGGGAGGAUGAACGGCCACAUUGGGACUGUGACACGGCCCACACUCCUACGGGAGGCAGCAGUGGGGAAUCUUCCGCAAUGGACGAAAGUCUGACGGAGCAACGCCGCGUGAGUGAUGACGGCCUUCGGGUUGUAAAGCUCUGUUAAUCGGGACGCGGUACCGGAAUAGAAAGCCACGGCUAACUACGUGCCAGCAGCCGCGGUAAUAC
rnacentral:rRNA from 1 species